GUGGUUGUAGUUCAGUGGCAGAGCACUCGCCUUGCAUGUGUGAGGCACUGGGUUCAAUCCUAAGUACCACA
rnacentral:tRNA from 1 species